rnacentral:tRNA from 1 species
GCCCCCGUAGCUCAGUGGACAGAGCGCCGGACUUCUAAUCCGAUGGUCGCAGGUUCGAAUCCUGCCGGGGGCG